AGAGUUUGAUCCUGGCUCAGAUUGAACGCUGGCGGUAUGCUUAACACAUGCAAGUCGAACGGUAACAGGUAAUGACUUCGGUCAUUAUGCUGACGAGUGGCGGACGGGUGAGUAACGCGUAGGAAUCUAGCUUUUAGUGGGGGAUAACUCCGGGAAACCGGAGCUAAUACCGCAUGAGUUCUGUGGAAGAAAGGGUGGGCCCUCUUUUGAGGCCACUCGCGAAAAGAUGAGCCUGCGUCGGAUUAGCUAGUUGGUGGGGUAAAGGCCUACCAAGGCGACGAUCCGUAGCUGGUCUGAGAGGAUGAGCAGCCACACUGGGACUGAGACACGGCCCAGACUCCUACGGGAGGCAGCAGUGGGGAAUAUUGGACAAUGGGCGGAAGCCUGAUCCAGCAAUACCGCGUGUGUGAAUAAGGCCUGCGGGUUGUAAAGCACUUUCAUUGGGGAAGAAGGGCUUUGUGUUUAUAGCACAGAGCAUUGACGUUACCCAAAGAAGAAGCACCGGCUAACUCUGUGCCAGCAGCCGCGGUAAUACAGAGGGUGCGAGCGUUAAUCGGAAUAACUGGGCGUAAAGCGCACGUAGGUGGAUAGAUAAGUCUUGUGUGAAAGCCCUGGGCUCAACCUGGGAAUGCCAUGAGAAACUGUCUGUCUAGAGUAUGAGAGAGGGAAGCGGAAUUUCCGGUGUAGCGGUGAAAUGCGUAGAUAUCGGAAGGAACACCAGUGGCGAAGGCGGCUUUCUGGCUCAAUACUGACACUGAGGAGCGAAAGCGUGGGUAGCAAACAGGAUUAGAUACCCUGGUAGUCCACGCUGUAAACGAUGAGAACUAGAUGUCAGGCACUUUUAGGUGCUUGGUAUCGCAGCUAACGCGUUAAGUUCUCCGCCUGGGGAGUACGGCCGCAAGGUUAAAACUCAAAGGAAUUGACGGGGGCCUGCACAAGCGGUGGGGCAUGUGGUUUAAUUCGAUGCAACGCGAAGAACCUUACCUACCCUUGACAUACUGGGAAUUAGCUAGAGAUAGCUGAGUGCCUUCGGGAAUCCAGAUACAGGUGCUGCAUGGCUGUCGUCAGCUCGUGUCGUGAGAUGUUGGGUUAAGUCCCGUAACGAGCGCAACCCUUAUCCUUAGUUACCAGCACGUAGUGGUGGGGACUCUAGGGAGACUGCCGGUGAUAAACCGGAGGAAGGUGGGGACGAUGUCAAGUCAUCAUGGCCCUUAUGGGUAGGGCUACACACGUGCUACAAUGGGUAAAACAGAGGGCAGCGAGACGGCGACGUUAAGCAAAUCCCUAAAAGUUACUCUCAGUCCGGAUUGGAGUCUGCAACUCGACUCCAUGAAGUUGGAAUCGCUAGUAAUCGCGGAUCAGCAUGCCGCGGUGAAUACGUUCACGGGCCUUGUACACACUGCCCGUCACACCAUGGGAGUGGGCUGUACCAGAAGUAGGUAGACUAACCUUCGGGGGGUCGCUUACCACGGUAUGGUUCAUGACUGGGGUGAAGUCGUAACAAGGUA
rnacentral:rRNA from 1 species